rnacentral:rRNA from 1 species
GACGAACGCUGGCGGCGUGCUUAACACAUGCAAGUCGAGCGGCGCGGCGAACGGGUGAGUAACCCGCGAGUAACUGCCCCCCUCUCUGCGAUAACAUCUGGAAACGCCUGCUCAUACAAGCGAGUGGGGGGUGAUUCGCGUCCUAUCAGUGUGUUGGUGGGGUAGUGGCAUACGAAGGCGACGACGGGUAGCCGGCCUGAGAGGGCGACCGGACACAUUGGGCUGGGAUACGGCCCAAGCUCGUACUGGAGGCAGCGGUGGAGAAUAUUGCACAAUGAGGGAAACCGUGAUGCGGCGGCGCCACGUGCGUGAUGACGGGCUUCGAGUUGUAAACCGCUUUCAGCCUUAACGCGGUAGUGGCAGAGGAAGCACCGGCUAACUACGUGCCAGCCGCCGCGGUAAUAC